GUAUGACGAAAUUGGUAAACGUGUUUGAUUUAGGAUCAAAUUUUGAAAGAAUUAAGAGUUCAAGUCUCUUUACUG
rnacentral:tRNA from 1 species